GGAUUGUGGUUCAGUGGUAGACUGCCUGCCUAGCAUGCAUGAGGCACUGGGUUUGAUCCCCAGCAUCA
rnacentral:tRNA from 1 species